UACGUAGGGGGCAAGCGUUGUCCGGAUUUAUUGGGCGUAAAGAGCGUGUAGGCGGCCAUGCAGGUCCGUUGUGAAAACUCGAGGCUCAACCUCGAGACGCCGAUGGAAACCGCAUGGCUAGAGUCCGGAAGAGGAGAGUGGAAUUCCUGGUGUAGCGGCGAAAUGCGCAGAUAUCAGGAAGAACACCCGUGGCUAAGGCGGCUCUCUAGUACGGUACUGACGCUGAGACGCGAAAGCGUGGGGAGCGAACAGG
rnacentral:rRNA from 1 species